CGUGUAGGCGGUUUGUUAAGUCUGAUGUGAAAGCCCCGGGCUCAACCUGGGAAGUGCAUCGGAUACUGGCAGACUUGAAUACGGGAGAGGGUAGUGGAAUUCCUGGUGUAGGAGUGAAAUCCGUAGAUAUCAGGAGGAACACCGGUGGCGAAGGCGGCUACCUGGACCGAUAUUGACGCUGAGACGCGAAAGCGUGGGGAGCAAACAGGAUUAGAUACCCUGGUAGUCCACGCCGUAAACGAUGAGUACUAGGUGUUGCGGGUAUUGACCCCUGCAGUGCCGCAGCUAACGCAUUAAGUACUCCGCCUGGGAAGUACGGUCGCAAGACUAAA
rnacentral:rRNA from 1 species